CCUCUAAAUGAUGAUAACUUGUAUAAGCUAUAGACUAUUGUCUAUGUGAAGCUUUUUGUCAUAGUUACUCUGAUAGGGA
rnacentral:snRNA from 1 species